ACCCAGUUUUGUAUGACUUUGAAAUCUCUGCUCAUGGGGUGACAGAGUCCUGUUCCCUGAGACACACAACUGAAGCUCUGUGGAGAGGAAUUUCCUUCCUAGAGCCGUGGGAGAAAUCUCCAUCCUGGUUUCCAGGCAGGAAUAACUUACCAAGGACAUCCUGAGUAACUGGAUACAUUAUUUCAUUCCAGCAGCACUCCCGACUCCAGCUUCCUGCUAAGGCUCAUCUUGGGAGGUAGCAGAUUCCGGCCACCCAGCACCUUCCAAGGCUGUCAUCCUACGCUAUGGAGGCUCCCAUGGAAAAUUCUACAUUCCAGCUUUCCUAUUCUGAGAAUGACAAUUAAGAGUGCUGGGGUCCAUAUCCCUACCCAUCAACUGCUAUGUGCUCACGUACAAAGGUCAUACUCCUCUGCUCAUGCCAGAAUCCCAGACAGCCACUGACUUUCCUUUUUCAUGAUUUUAAAAUUUUGUAUGAAUGAAAAUCUGCUGUAGUAUUCCUUGGUGUCUAGCUUCUCUUACUCAGCAUAAAUUUAUCGAUGUUUUUAGCACGUAUCAAUUAUCUAUUCCUUUGUCUUGUUGAGUUGUUUUCCAUUUUAGGAAUAUUCUACAAUUUGUUUAUCUACUGAUGAACAUUUCGAUUAUUUCCAGUUUCCACAGAUACUAUGAUCAUUUGUAUACAAGUUUUUGUGUGGGUGAAAGCUUUCAUUUCUCCUAGGUAAAUAUCUAAGAGUGUGAUUAUGAAGUCAUAUGGUUAACAUAUAUUUAUCUUUAUAAGAAAUAGACAAACUUACUCUCUAAAGGGUCCAUGCCAUUUUGCUCUCCUGCCAGCCAUGUGUAAGAGUUCACACAGUUGAUCCAUAUCCUUGCCAGUGCUUGGCAGUAUCAUUCUUUUCUAUUUUAGCCAUACUAAUAAAUGUUUAGGAUCUCAUUCGCUUUAAAUUUGCAUUUCUCUGAUGACAAAAAUGUGAGGUUGUUUCCUUUGCUAGUUGGCCUUUUGUAUGUGCUUUGUGAAGUGUAUGUUUUGGAUAUUUAUUUAGUUGCUUGCUUCUUUUAAGUUACAAGAGUUCUUUAUACAAUUUUGAAAAAUAUCACUUUUUAUAUUUAUGUAUUGCACAUAGUCUCCCUGCUUCUGGUCUAUAACUGUAUUUUCAUUUUCAUUUAAGAAAAAAUUUAAUUUUGAUGGUGCAAUUUUUCAUUUUUUUAAAGAUUUAUUUUUAUUUACUUGAAAGACAGAGUUACACAG